AGAACGCUCAAUAGCAAUGGAGAGCAAGGCCAAGGUAAGACCAGUGCAAUCACCAGGGGACACACCAGCGGCUUGGGUUGUAACCGUUAUUAUUGGGUCUAAAGGGUCCGUAGCCGGCCGGAUAAGUCUCUUGAGAAAUCCAGCAGCUCAACUGUUGGGCUUUCAGGAGAUACUGUUCGGCUCGAGGCCGGGAGAGGUGAGAGGUACUUCAGGGGUAGGGGUGAAAUCUUGUAAUCCUUGAAGGACCACCAGUGGCGAAGGCGUCUCACCAGAACGGACCUGACGGCAAGGGACGAAAGCUAGGGGCACGAACCGGAUUAGAUACCCGGGUAGUCCUAGCCGUAAACGAUACUCGCUAGGUGUCGGCCACGGUGCGACCGUUGUCGGUGCCGUAGGGAAGCCGUGAAGCGAGCCACCUGGGAAGUACGGCCGCAAGGCUGAAACUUAAAGGAAUUGGCGGGGGAGCACCACAACGGGUGGAGCUUGCGGUUUAAUUGGAUUCAACGCCGGAAAUCUUACCGGGACCGACAGCAACAUGAAGGCCAGGCUGAGGACUUUGCCGGAUUAGCUGAGAGGUGGUGCAUGGCCGUCGUCAGUUCGUACUGUGAAGCAUCCUGUUAAGUCAGGCAACGAGCGAGACCCACGCCCACAGUUGCCUGCGUACUCUCCGGAGUGACGGGUACACUGUGGGGACCGCCGCUGCUAAAGCGGAGGAAGGAAUGGGCAACGGUAGGUCAGUAUGCCCCGAAUAUCCCGGGCUACACGCGAGCUACAAUGGUUGGUACAAUGGGUAUCUACCCCGAAAGGGGAUGGAAAUCUCCUAAAGCCAAUCUUAGUUCGGAUUGAGGGCUGCAACUCGCCCUCAUGAAGCUGGAAUCCGUAGUAAUCGCGUUUCAACAGAACGCGGUGAAUAUGUCCCUGCUCCUUGCACACACCGCCCGUCAAACCACCCGAGUAGGGUCUGAAUGAGAGCGCUUC
rnacentral:rRNA from 1 species